AACGCUUCUUUCCUCCCGAGUGCUUGCACUCAAUUGGAAAGAGGAGUGGCGGACGGGUGAGUAACACGUGGGUAACCUACCCAUCAGAGGGGGAUAACACUUGGAAACAGGUGCUAAUACCGCAUAACAGUUUAUGUCGCAUGGCAUAAGAGUGAAAGGCGCUUUCGGGUGUCGCUGAUGGAUGGACCCGCGGUGCAUUAGCUAGUUGGUGAGGUAACGGCUCACCAAGGCCACGAUGCAUAGCCGACCUGAGAGGGUGAUCGGCCACACUGGGACUGAGACACGGCCCAGACUCCUACGGGAGGCAGCAGUAGGGAAUCUUCGGCAAUGGACGAAAGUCUGACCGAGCAACGCCGCGUGAGUGAAGAAGGUUUUCGGAUCGUAGAACUCUGUUGUUAGAGAAGAACAAGGACGUUAGUAACUGAACGUCCCCUGACGGUAUCUAACCAGAAAGCCACGGCUAACUACGUGCCAGCAGCCGCGGUAAUACGUAGGUGGCAAGCGUUGUCCGGAUUUAUUGGGCGUAAAGCGAGCGCAGGCGGUUUCUUAAGUCUGAUGUGAAAGCCCCCGGCUCAACCGGGGAGGGUCAUUGGAAACUGGGAGACUUGAGUGCAGAAGAGGAGAGUGGAAUUCCAUGUGUAGCGGUGAAAUGCGUAGAUAUAUGGAGGAACACCAGUGGCGAAGGCGGCUCUCUGGUCUGUAACUGACGCUGAGGC
rnacentral:rRNA from 1 species